AAACCCAAUUCUGGGUUUUGUGUAUGUCGACCAGGAACAAGGAAAGGAGGGAAGAACCCUAACUCCUCAAAAAUCUUCAAAAUUGGAAGGGGAAUUCAGCUCAAACCCGAUGCAUGAACCCUAAUAUAUGAUCAUCAAGGCUUGCUGAACAUGUGGAAUCAUGUCAAGAUGGAUGGGAGCGUUGAAGUCCAACGGGCUAAGAAGACUCAAUCAAGUAAGCGAACGCAAAUACGGACGCGCAAGGUAAGUGAAUCCCGGACUUACACUUUAGAUGUAAAAUGUAUUGUAGUAUGAUGAUUAUUGUGAAACGUGUGAGAAAGUAUGAGACAAUGGAAGUAAUAAGGUAAGUUUACGGUAAAUGAGUCGAAAGUAGUUAAGAAAUAGUUUCUAUUAAGUGUAGGUAAGGAAGAAUCUUACGUGAUGAUAUUAUGCAUAAAGAUGGAAUAAGUAGUUAUACGCGUAGGUAUGGGUAUAAUUGUAAGUAAGCAAUUGGGACUCAUAGGAGACUUUGACUAUGAACACGUAAGUGUGGAUAAUUAUGUGUAUACAAUUUACAUGUAUAGGUGGGUGUGUUUAGGAUUUACAAGUAAUAUGUGUAGAAUGUAAAUUUGUAAGUUCAUAUGAGCUUUGUUUAUCUUAAAUGUAAAUUUACGAGUAGUGGUAUUUGGUACUAUGGAUUGUUGUAAAUGUUCAUAACGGGUCAAAGGAUGUAAAUAUAUUGGAAAGCAUGUUAUGUAGCGAUUCAUUACGAAUGGGUCAAAAGGUGAUAAGUUGGAUGUUUCAAAUGGAAGUAAAGAUGCUAAUAAGGUAACAUGUUAUGUUAACGGGUCGAACAAUGAUAGGUAAUUUAAAGGAUUUUAAAUUACUAUGUAUUAUGAACUAACAAUGUUGUUGUUAUGAAUGUUAGGUAAAUUUAUUGCUUGAUGCGGCGCACCCGGACCGAGCACACACGACGUUGACCUUAAUACGCUUCAAAUUCAAGUUGUUUCUUUUGAAUGGGUCGAAACGUCCUUUUGUGUAGCAAAUGUUAAACUAGUUAUUAGGAUGAUGGUAGUAGUUUGAGGUUAAACUUUAUUUUGAAUAGUGUCAUAGAAUGUAUCUUGAAUGGUUUCGUUAAAAAGCAGGAAAAUGUUCACUUUUCGAA